rnacentral:misc_RNA from 1 species
GAUGAAGAACGCAGCGAAAUGCGAUAACUAAUGUGAAUUGCAGAAUUCCGUGAAUCAUCGAGUCUUUGAACGCACAUUGCGCCCCCUGGUAUUCCGGGGGGCAUGCCUGUCCGAGCGUCAUUGCAACCCUCAAGCACGGCUUGUCUAAUGGGCGGUUCGUCUGCGGCCAUCCGCCGGAGACGCCCCCGAAAUGCAGUGGGGAUGUUCGCUAAAUCGCAGCGUCAGGAAUGGAAAUAAACAAUGCUGACGGCUCGAUGUCGAACGUCCACCUAAGGCGUGCCGCCCCCGGGGUGUGCCGCCCAACCUCUCUCGGUUGACCUCGGAUCAGGUAGGGAUACCCGCUGAACUUAAGCAUAUCAAUAAGCGGAGGA